AACGAGGCAAUAACGUAUUCUAGCUACUGAGAAAUCUUUUUCAACCACUAGAUGGUACUAUUGGCCCCUUGUGGAAUUUGCCAGUGCCGGUCCAGGGCUUGCUGGUCAGUAAUUCUACUGGGUUUUCCCAGAAUAAAGUGAGAUUUAUUCCCAGAAUAAAGUGAGAUUUGAUCAAUAAACUUACGAAAGAAGUAAAGUUGUUUGUUCUCUUUAAUCUUCAAAUAGUAUCCCUCUUUGUGGAGCAGGAGAAAAAAGAAAUCAUUCACUCCUAGUGUUGCAAUAAUUGAAAGCUGGAUGCUGGGGACAAAACCCAGACUCCUCUGGCGGUUGAGUGCCCUAGCUCCUAGGUACACAGGUGCUGGUUCAAUAAAAUCGACUGUGUAGCCAAUUGUGGUAAAUGUUGACCUGGGGCACCUGGGCCCGGAUUCAGGAGUAGGAAAUUCAGGAACGGGAAGCUGAUGUUGGAAAAGCUGAAGCUACAGUUCUGCUACAACUGGAAUUCCAUGAGAGUCCAUGAAAGUUGUCCUGGGAUUCUCACCCAACAGGUGGAUGCUUACCCGGGGAAGCAGGGCCACAGGCCUGGUGAUCAGGCAGGAGCAGGAGGCACACAGCGGGACCUGCAGAGUUGCUAGUGUGUCUGGUAGGCAGAGCAGUGGCUUUUCCCCUUGGCUCCACUGUCCUUGAUUUCUCUGGCUCUGCAUAAGCAGGGAGCUGUGGGCACACAUUUCUUAUCCCCUGCAGUGUUGAGCACAAGCACUUUUCAUGAGAUGAGUACCAUCAAAUAAAUACUUUAUUAACAAUGGAAUGAUACAGCGUCCGCUCUGAUUUCUUGACACCCUCAUCCUUUCGUGGUGUGGCUGCCACACCUGUCAUUCUGAACACAACUCUCCGUCCAGUUCUGGACCCACCUCUGCCUCCUCCUCCUGUUACUGAGUCCAAGAUCUCUCGGCUAGCCACAAGAUAAGUCAAUGAAUCUGAAACAAAGUGUUAGGAUCAGGGAGGGACUUUAUUUAGGAAUCACCUAACUAAGAAGAUGGCAGGCUAGCAUCUCAAAAUAACCAUCGUAUCAGGGCCUGGUUGCCAGGUUCUUUUAUGGCUCAGAGAUGGGGGGAGGUGAAGAAACAAAGCAAAAAGACUAUUUGAUCCUUGCAGCUGUCCCCUAGAAUGGCAGGGGAAUGUGUUGGUUUCCCUUCCUUACAGUCCUUCACAGGUGGGUGGCUCAGGUUAUCUCCCUGAGGCAGGGCAUUAUAAUAACGAAAAAGGGUUAAAGUCACAGAAGCGGAUCCAGUGGGAAUUUAAAAUUAACCCUACCCGGUCAUCCUCCCCCAUCCCCAGGCAUGAGCA
rnacentral:lncRNA from 1 species